GUUCUAGCUUGAUUUGAGGCGGCGGCGGCGGCGGAGGAAGGAAGAUGGAGACAAUUCUGGAGCAGCAGCGGCGCUAUCACGAGGAGAAGGAACGGCUCAUGGACGUCAUGGCUAAAGAGAUGCUCACUAAGAAGUCCACGCUCCGGGACCAGAUCAAUUCUGACCACCGCACACGGGCCAUGCAAGAUAGGUAUAUGGAAGUCAGUGGGAACCUGAGGGAUUUGUAUGAUGAUAAGGAUGGGUUACGAAAGGAGGAACUCAAUGCCAUUUCAGGACCCAAUGAAUUUGCUGAAUUCUAUAAUAGACUCAAACAAAUAAAGGAAUUCCACCGGAAGCACCCAAAUGAGAUCUGUGUGCCAAUGUCAGUGGAAUUUGAGGAGCUCCUGAAGGCUCGAGAGAAUCCAAGUGAAGAGGCACAAAAUUUGGUGGAGUUCACAGAUGAAGAGGGAUAUGGUCGUUACCUUGAUCUCCAUGACUGUUACCUCAAAUACAUUAACCUGAAGGCCUCUGAGAAGCUGGAUUAUAUCACUUACCUGUCAAUCUUCGACCAGUUGUUUGACAUUCCGAAAGAAAGGAAGAAUGCAGAGUAUAAGAGAUAUCUGGAGAUGCUGCUUGAGUACCUUCAGGAUUACACAGAUAGAGUGAAACCUCUCCAAGAUCAGAAUGAACUUUUUGGGAAAAUUCAGAAUGAGUUUGAGAAGAAGUGGGAGAAUGGUACUUUUCCUGGAUGGCCGAAAGAGACAAGCAGUGCCCUGACGCAUGCCGGAGCCCAUCUUGACCUCUCUGCAUUCUCCUCCUGGGAGGAGUUGGCCUCCCUGGGUCUGGACAGAUUGAAAUCUGCACUGUUAGCUUUAGGCCUGAAGUGCGGCGGGACCCUAGAAGAGAGAGCCCAGAGGCUAUUCAGCACCAAAGGAAAGUCCCUGGAGUCACUCGACACCUCCCUGUUUGCCAAAAAUCCCAAGUCAAAGGGCACUAAACGAGACACUGAGAGGAACAAAGACAUUGCUUUCCUAGAAGCCCAGAUCUAUGAAUAUGUAGAGAUUCUUGGGGAACAGCGACAUCUCACUCAUGAAAAUGUACAGCGCAAGCAGGCAAGAACCGGAGAAGAGCGAGAAGAGGAGGAGGAAGAGCAGAUCAGCGAGAGUGAAAGUGAAGACGAAGAGAAUGAAAUCAUUUACAACCCCAAGAACCUGCCCCUUGGCUGGGAUGGCAAACCCAUUCCUUACUGGUUGUAUAAGCUUCAUGGCCUGAAUAUCAACUAUAACUGUGAGAUCUGUGGAAACUACACCUACCGAGGUCCCAAGGCCUUCCAGCGGCAUUUUGCUGUAAGGAAUUCAGAGCCAUUUCUCCUGGACGUUGAAGCAUGAAACAUGAGUCUUUUAGAGAAGAGGAUAGGAGCAGCCUGAGAGGACCACUAGUGUCCAGAGCCUAAGAGAAUCAGAGAAGGAGUGGAUCUAAAGUCCAGCAUGUGGCAUUUGGCCUCUAGCACCAGUGCCAGCCUUGGGUAGUACCUGAGAUGGUUUCUGGAGGCAUCCCACCACUCUGCUGUUUGAACCUCAUUUCUAUUUCCUCUUGCUUGCUCUUUAUUUUUCUUUUUGCCUUUCUGACUCCUUGGUCAUUUCUCUAUCCUGUUGCUAGUACUCAGGACCAAAGAAAAGGCUGACCGCCUCCUUCUUUGGGUCUUAAAUGGGCCUUUGCCUCUUGAAAAAAAAAGAAACGAAGAGGAUGACAUUUAUCAAGCUAUUCUUGAGAGAAAGCAUUAUCUGGGUGGUACUCCAAUGUACAUAUUACUAAUUGAUCCUGGGGUCUUUUCCGCCAGGCUCCUGAGUACUCUCUGAAUCUUUCUCAACACCACCUCCAACGAAUUAGAAUUGGCAUCCAGGGCCCAUACCAUUUGCUGUCCCUGAGCCAGAACUGUCAUGCAUCAGCAUCUCUUACUGGUCUCUUUCGUAUCCUUGCCUAUAUCUGAUAAACAGUCUUCUCCUUUACUUCCAGAGAUGACGCUGACCAGCCAUCAGUAACGCUUACUCAUGCUGGUGGGGGGGGGGGGUUGCUUGGGAGGUGACUGGUGAGUUGUGGUCUUGACACAGGUUUUGUCUGGAUCUGGAAUCUAAGUUUUUAAUAAACCAGCCCAGUGAGGCAAACGGUGCAGUGCUGCUUUGAAGUAACGGCCUCUUGUCAGUGACAGCCAGCUGUCUACAAACAAGAGCCACAAAAGGAAUGCUGCCUUUAAGUGGAGCCUUUUGCAAAGGGUCAGGGUAGGGCUUCUGAGUAGAAUGGAGUUAGUGGUCAGUGUUCAGCCAUCCCGUUUCACAUUGUCCUCUCGCUUCUCCCAGGAAUGGCGUCAUGCUCAUGGCAUGAGGUGUUUGGGCAUCCCAAACACUGCCCACUUUGCUAACGUGACACAGAUUGAAGACGCCGUCUCCU